GUGGGGAAUAUUGGGCAAUGGGCGAAAGCCUGACCCAGCAACGCCGCGUGAAGGAAGAAGGUUUUCGGAUCGUAAACUUCUAUCCUUGGUGAAGAUAAUGACGGUAGCCAAGAAGGAAGCCCCGGCUAACUACGUGCCAGCAGCCGCGGUAAUACGUAGGGGGCAAGCGUUGUCCGGAAUGAUUGGGCGUAAAGGGCGCGUAGGCGGCCUGGUAAGUCUGGAGUGAAAGUCCUGCUUUUAAGGUGGGAAUUGCUUUGGAGACUGUCGGGCUUGAGUGCAGGAGAGGUAAGUGGAAUUCCCGGUGUAGCGGUGAAAUGCGUAGAGAUCGGGAGGAACACCAGUGGCGAAGGCGACUUACUGGACUGUAACUGACGCUGAGGCGCGAAAGUGUGGGGAGCAAACAGGAUUAGAUACCCGAGUAGUCC
rnacentral:rRNA from 1 species